AAGUAAAAGUCGUAACAAGGUUUCCGUAGGUGAACCUGCGGAAGGAUCAUUCAUAAUAAGUGUUCUACUGCACUUUUUAAAAAUAGUACUCACCUUGUGUGCAAUGUUUGUUAGACUCUCUCGGGAGUCUGACAUUUAUACCAACCUUUUUUAUUUUGAACCACUUUGUCUGAAAAAUAUUAUGAAUACUUAAUUCUAAAUACAACUUUCAACAACGGAUCUCCUGGCUCUCGCAUCGAUGAAGAACGCAGC
rnacentral:misc_RNA from 1 species